rnacentral:rRNA from 1 species
CCAGAUCGUUUACCGUGAAAAAAUUAGAGUGUUCAAAGCAGGCAGAUCCAAUUUUCUGCCACCGAAUACAUUAGCAUGGGAUAAUGGAAUAGGACCCUGUCCUCCUAUUUUCAGUUGGUUUUGGCAGCGCGAGGACUAGGGUAAUGAUUAAUAGGGAUAGUUGGGGGCAUUAAUAUUUAAUUGUCAGAGGUGAAAUUCUUGGAUUUAUGAAAGAUUAACUUCUGCGAAAGCAUCUGCCAAGGAUGUUUUCAUUAAUCAAGAACGAAAGUUAGGGGAUCGAAGACGAUCAGAUACCGUCGUAGUCUUAACCAUAAACGAUGCCGACCAGCGAUUAGGAGACGUUGAAUACAAAACACCACCAUCGGCGCGGUCGUCCUUGGCGUCUCGGUCCUUCACGGGGCCGGGGCGCGGGGGCGGUUAGCC